rnacentral:rRNA from 1 species
CGACGCCGUGUGAGCGAUGAAGGCCUUCGGGUUGUAAAGCUCUUUCGCUUGGGAACAAGAGAGGUAGACCAAUAAUCUGCCGAUUUGAGAGUACCAGGUAAAGAAGCACCGGCUAACUCCGUGCCAGCAGCCGCGGUAAUACGGAGGGUGCAAGCAUUAAUCGGAUUUAUUGGGCGUAAAGGGCGCGUAGGCGGGAAUAUAAGUCAGAUGUGAAAGCCCGAGGCUCAACCUCGGAACGGCAUUUGAAACUGUGUACCUAGAGGGUGGACGGCGAAAUCGGAAUUCCACGUGUAGCGGUGAAAUGCGUAGAUAUGUGGAAGAACACCUGUGGCGAAAGCGGAUUUCGAGUUUAUACCUGACGCUGAGGCGCGAAAGCAAGGGGAGCAAACAGGAUUAGAUACCCUGGUAGUCCUUGCCGUAAACGAUGUAUACUUGGUGUAGUUGGACUCAACCCCAACUGUGUCGAAGCUAACGCGAUAAGUAUACCGCCUGAGGAGUACACUCGCAAGGGUG